ACGAAGGGUGCAAGCGUUACUCGGAAUUACUGGGCGUAAAGCGUGCGUAGGUGGUUCGUUAAGUCUGAUGUGAAAGCCCUGGGCUCAACCUGGGAAUGGCAUUGGAUACUGGCGACCUAGAGUGCGGUAGAGGGGGGCGGAAUUCCCAGUGUAGCGGUGAAAUGCGUAGAUAUUGGGAGGAACACCAGUGGCGAAGGCGGUCCCCUGGGCCGGAACUGACGCUGAGGCGCGAAAGCGUGGGUAGCAAACGGGA
rnacentral:rRNA from 1 species